rnacentral:sRNA from 1 species
GUGAACCUGCGGAAGGAUCAUUAGUGAAUAUAGGACGUCCAACUUAACUUGGAGUCCGAACUCUCACUUUCUAACCCUGUGCACUUGUUUGGGAUAGUAACUCUCGCAAGAGAGCGAACUCCUAUUCACUUAUAAACACAAAGUCUAUGAAUGUAUUAAAUUUUAUAACAAAAUAAAACUUUCAACAACGGAUCUCUUGGCUCUCGCAUCGAUGAAGAACGCAGCGAAAUGCGAUAAGUAAUGUGAAUUGCAGAAUUCAGUGAAUCAUCGAAUCUUUGAACGCACCUUGCGCUCCAUGGUAUUCCGUGGAGCAUGCCUGUUUGAGUGUCAUGAAUACUUCAACCCUCCUCUUUCUUAAUGAUUGAAGAGGUGUUUGGUUUCUGAGCGCUGCUGGCCUUUACGGUCUAGCUCGUUCGUAAUGCAUUAGCAUCCGCAAUCGAACUUCGGAUUGACUUGGCGUAAUAGACUAUUCGCUGAGGAAUUCUAGUCUUCGGACUAGAGCCGGGUUGGGUUAAAGGAAGCUUCUAAUCAGAAUGUCUACAUUUUAAGAUUAGAUCUCAAAUCA